rnacentral:lncRNA from 1 species
UCUGGGUACUAAAUCCUUAUAUCUGUCUUCCCAUUCAUAAAAUCGUACAUGUACAAAUUUCCUUGUGAUACCAGGAAACUUGAUAAAUCUUUAACCUUAAAAAGUUUUCUGUGUUGAUAUAAAAUAAGUUUGCGGUAAAUGUCAAAUAAUGGCUGACUAACAUGGACUUGCAUUACAUGACUUACAUUAUCAUUUCCUCCAGGUGUUUUAGUCUUAGAGCCAUUGGUAUUAUUAGGGUUUAAUUGUUCAGAUGUCAACGGAAAGGGACAUUAAGUAAUGGUGCAGAUAUCCUGUUAACCUUAGAAAUGCAUCAACUACGCUCGUCUAAUAACAGUCCAACAAGUUAUAUCUAUU